ACUGUCCUCACAAUUAUAAGUCUUCUGGCAUUCAGUGUCUUGAUCCAUAUAUGAAGAAUAGAUGAAUCACUGGUUCAAUGGAGAGUGCAUGAGGUUCCACAAAUGGAUGAGGAGGAUCCGUAAAUAUCCCCAUCCUCAGUGUUGGAAAGAGCUCACCAUAUCGGUGCAAAAGGAGUUGUUCUUGCUUGCCCACCCUUGGAGUUGGACUGCAAAUACCCAAACUAAUUUCACAAAGAGUCCUUCCAGAGCAGCAAAGGAAAUUUUCAACUCUAAAGACUCAAAUGUAUAUCAGCGCCCUGUAUCGAAGUUUAACCUUUUGAUGAUAACAUUGUCAAACAUAAACCGAAUAAAACAACUUAGCACCAACUGUAACAACACUUUUCAUUUUUUUUGUGAAUUAGGGCGAUAUAUCUUCCAUUACCUUUGCCCCAACCAUAUUACAGGAACAUUAAAAAAAGGUCAAUUUAUAAUUAAGAUUAUUAAAAUCUGAUUAUGCCUAUUACCAACACAUUUACCCGAAUCUACUAUUGGUUAGUGGGGAAGUAAAAACCUAUUGCUACUUAAUCUUUGUUGUUUUAAAACCUCUGAACUCUGCUAUUUUAUGUAGUGGAGAUCAAGUCUCAACAUGUGUGUUUCUCAUCCUUGAUCAUAUUGUGUGCACUGGAUGCUGUCUGUGCCAUGAAAUACAACAUGUGCGUGACAAGGUCACAAAUAUGAUGCAAUGACAUCCUGAAAUAUGCAUUUUAUCAGGAAAAUAAAUGGCUUAAAAUGGUCUACUCAGUAGCAAAUUUUAAUUUCCAGAUGAAACUGAGAAACAGCAGCAUCAAAUCCACCAGACCUCUAGGUAGAUGAAGAUGAGAAGCUGCAAGUAGGGAUGAUGUAGAGGUCCUCCGAUAAAAGGUCGAAAGUUACUGGCGAAAUGUUCUGCCUUCAAAAAGUGCUGCAAAUCACUCACAUUAUUCAGGGUUGCACUCAUUCCA